rnacentral:rRNA from 1 species
GACGAACCGAGCGAACGUUGUUCGGAAUCACUGGGCUUAAAGGGCGCGUAGGCGGGUGCUCAAGUCCGGGGUGAAAUCCCACAGCUCAACUGUGGAACUGCCUCGGAUACUGGGCGUCUCGAGUGUGGUAGGGGUAUGCGGAACUAUCGGUGGAGCGGUGAAAUGCGUUGAUAUCGAUAGGAACUCCGGUGGCGAAGGCGGCAUACUGGACCACCACUGACGCUGAUGCGCGAAAAGCCAGGGGGAGCAAACGGG